rnacentral:snRNA from 1 species
GGAGAUCCAUGUGCGCCCCUCCCGAAGCUGCGCGCUUGGUUGAAGAGGACGACCUUCCCCCGCGAAGAGAGGACCGGUCUUCAGUCAAGGGUAUUUGAGUAGCUGCGCUCCCCUGCUAGAACCUCCAAACAAGCUCUCAAGAAUACCAAUCCACACUGAAGCUAAAAAUUCUGUUAAUAUUCAAAUACCAAGGGAGAAUAUU